GGAUCAUUAUUGAAUUGUAAAAUGGGGAAUCGCUUUCGAGCAUUCCUCUACUUUCUUUAUUCCUAAACACCUGUGAAUCGUUGCUGAGUUUGCUCAGUGGCACAAUUUUAAAAACACUAUUAUAGUUUUGAACGUAAAAAAACAAAAAACAAAAAUAUAACUUUUGACAACGGAUCUCUUGGUUCUCCCAUCGAUGAAGAACGCAGCGAAAUGCGAUAAGUAAUGUGAAUUGCAGAAUUCAGUGAAUCAUCGAAUCUUUGAACGCACCUUGCGCUCCUUGGUAUUCCUUGGAGCAUGCCUGUUUGAGUGUCUUGAAUAUCUCUGCUCCUCAAUUUUUUAAUUAAGAUUGGUUUGGAGCAGGUUCUUGGGCUUGCUUGCGGUUUGUUACGAACACAAGCUUGCCUUAAAUGCAUUAGCUGGAUUUCAGUAGAGCUUGUUAAGUAACAUUGAAAACUCUCGUAAAACGAAGUUUGCUGUCUAACCCGCUGAUUGUUUUUCAGUAAACAUUCACACAUAUUCAUUUCUUUGGCCUCAAAUCAGGUAGGGACUA
rnacentral:misc_RNA from 1 species